ACCAUUAAAUUGGUUAGAUCAUUGAAGUGUUACAGGUAUAAAAGCACUACAGCUGACCAUUAAAUUGGUUAGAUGAUUCAUGUCUUGCAAACAUGAAAGCUGCAUAGCGGACCAUUAAAUUGGUUAGAUCAGUCAUGUCUUACAGACAUGAAAGCAGCACGGCUGACCAUUAAAUUGGUUAGAUCAUCUCAUCGUUAAAUCGAUAAGUUCAUUUACAGCCUGAAAAGUUAUCAAGUACAUAAAUUAAGAAGAUUGAAACCCUGAUCGAUAAAUUGAUAUUACGAGUGGUAAGAAGUUUGAAGCUAAAAUUUGUGUGAGGCAAACUGUUAACUAAAUUAAGUUACAGAUUAAUAAACGCAGCACUCGGCGAGCAAGUCUAAUUGUUGUGCCGAAGGUGAGUGGAAAGAGAUAUAACAUACGAAGGAGUACAGCUUCAUAAGUUGUUACUGUCAUCUUUAUAAAUCAUAAUUAUUGGACCAAGUCAUGGAGGAAUUCAUUGUAAAAGUCGCUGUUUAGGCAACUCCUCGCUGAGGACACACUAGUCGCAGUCGGGGUAUGUUGAAGCUGGAUUUUGUUAUCAAUAACCCACAAAAAAUUGGUGAGUCAACU